rnacentral:tRNA from 1 species
GCCGAGGUGGUGGAAUAGGCAGACACGCGGUCUUGAGGGGGCCGUGCCGCAAGGCGUAGGAGUUCAAAUCUCCUCCUCGGCACCA